GGCACUUUGGCGGAGUGGUCAACGCGAUGGCCGUAAGUUCCUUGAUAAAACAUAUCCACCUAACCCAAUCCCAUCUAACAAAUUGUGCAGUGCUAAGCCAUUUCCUUCGGGAGCGUGAGUUCGAAUCUCACAGGUGUCG